AUUAUAUCACAGGGGAAAGAAAAAAAAAAAACACUUGAGUGUUUCUACUGACCCCCAGAGAUCUGCUUAUGAGUGCAUGGGGGAUUGCAGUGAACCUUCUCUCCUGUUUUAAACAGACUUUGGAGGCUGGCGCAUGAAUCUUCAUUCACAAAAGGUAUCAACAGUAUGUCUGUGGAAGUUCCAUUAUUCCUGGGAGUUAUGCCCAGCAACACAAACCAAUCAUGUCCAGCAUGUACAUUGGAUCUGCUAACUUUACUUUAGGAUUCCUAGGAUUUCAAAAGUUCAUCAUGUUCAGGAAAGAAGACAUUUUAAUUGGUAAAUGAAGGAGAGAAAAAUUGGAAGGGAGAAGGUGUAUAGUUUACAUGGUGCAUUUAAAGUACUAUGACUAGGGUGAAG